rnacentral:rRNA from 1 species
GGAAAAAGAGGAGUGGCGAACGGGUGAGUAACACGUGGGUAACCUGCCCAUCAGAAGGGGAUAACACUUGGAAACAGGUGCUAAUACCGUAUAACAAUCAAAACCGCAUGGUUUUGAUUUGAAAGGCGCUUUCGGGUGUCGCUGAUGGAUGGACCCGCGGUGCAUUAGCUAGUUGGUGAGGUAACGGCUCACCAAGGCCACGAUGCAUAGCCGACCUGAGAGGGUGAUCGGCCACAUUGGGACUGAGACACGGCCCAAACUCCUACGGGAGGCAGCAGUAGGGAAUCUUCGGCAAUGGACGAAAGUCUGACCGAGCAACGCCGCGUGAGUGAAGAAGGUUUUCGGAUCGUAAAACUCUGUUGUUAGAGAAGAACAAGGAUGAGAGUAACUGUUCAUCCCUUGACGGUAUCUAACCAGAAAGCCACGGCUAACUACGUGCCAGCAGCCGCGGUAAUACGUAGGUGGCAAGCGUUGUCCGGAUUUAUUGGGCGUAAAGCGAGCGCAGGCGGUUUCUUAAGUCUGAUGUGAAAGCCCCCGGCUCAACCGGGGAGGGUCAUUGGAAACUGGGAGACUUGAGUGCAGAAGAGGAGAGUGGAAUUCCAUGUGUAGCGGUGAAAUGCGUAGAUAUAUGGAGGAACACCAGUGGCGAAGGCGGCUCUCUGGUCUGUAACUGACGCUGAGGCUCGAAAGCGUGG